GACGAACGCUGGCGGCGUGCUCAACACAUGCAAGUCGAACGGUGAAGCCCUUCGGGGUGGAUCAGUGGCGAACGGGUGAGUAACACGUGAGCAACCUGCCCCUGGCCCUGGGACAACCACUGGAAACGGUGGCUAAUACCGGAUACGACCCGCCUCGGCAUCGAGUGUGGGUGGAAAGUUUUUCGGCUGGGGAUGGGCUCGCGGCCUAUCAGCCUGUUGGUGAGGUGAAGGCUCACCAAGGCGACGACGGGUAGCCGGCCUGAGAGGGCGACCGGCCACACUGGGACUGAGACACGGCCCAGACUCCUACGGGGGGCAGCAGUGGGGAAUAUUGCACAAUGGGCGAAAGCCUGAUGCAGCGACGCCGCGUGAGGGAUGACGGCCUUCGGGUUGUAAACCUCUUUCAGCGCCGAAGAAGCGAAAGUGACGGUAGGAGCAGAAGAAGCACCGGCUAACUACGUG
rnacentral:rRNA from 1 species